ACCAGGUUGGUUAGGCACAACCUCCCCUUGGUAAAGCCAUGCUGGCUUUCUCGGAUCACCUGCUCAUCCCUCACAUGCCUUAACAUAUCUUCUAGGAGGAUCUGUUCCAUGAACUUCGCAGGAACAUAGAGGAGAAUGGAACUAUGUGAUGCGGCUGACAGCACAUUGUGCUGAAGAAACAGCAGCAUUCCUGCUAAGAAACGUCCCGCUGUGAAGGCAUGAACAUUAUGACAACAUGGUGUAUCACACCACAGCCUGAAGGCUCCCAAAACACACACCCUUGAGAAUUCCUGGGACCAAGGAAGUCACCAUGUCGGAGGACAUGAGGCUACCAGCAACAGCUUGUGAUGCAUUUGCUUCAAGGAGAUUGAUGUACAUUCAACACAAGUAAUAUUUUGCUGCAGAGCAGGCAUGGCUGUGACUAGCUGGUGAAGCUGUGGAUUCAGAGUGUGGCCAUAAGAAAGGUGCUUGAAGAAAAGAGGGCAGUGGAGAAUCAGAAGGGAGACUGCACUAAUCAGCAUUUAUGCUUGCACUGAGAGAAAUCUCCAGAGAGCUAAAGGCUGGAACGACUAGCCCUCUGCACCUCCUUCUUCAAGGCUGCUUAUUCCAAAUAAUUACUAAUUACUCACACUGAUGAAGAGAACAAAGAUAACGCUUCCAAGUAUGACUGUAAAAUCAGUGCUUGAGAGCUAACUCAGUGGGCCUUCAAGGACUUCUCUGACGUCUUAUUAGGGAAUUGUAUACUUCUAAGUCACUUACUUCUGGUGUGAUUCUUAGGAAUUUAUGGGAGGUAAAAUGGGAUAAAAUAUUAACCUUACAGGAAAAAAGUGUUGGGAUUAAAUAGUCAUAAUGAAAGACA